ACACCGCACAAACCGAUCAGCAUCGUAUGAUUAGUCCCACAACUCUCAAUCUUACAGCCAUUAUUGAUCUAAUAAUCUAUGGUGUGGACCUAGCAAUUUUCAAUGACUGAUCGUUCCGAUCGCUAACUAAGGAAACACAAUGAAAUCAGCUCCCUUGCACGUCGUCUCCUUCCUGCACGCCCCUGCCUAUCGUCGCCGCCCCUCCCUAAAAUACCCACAUGCCUGGCGGCGCACGACCCUCCUCCCUCGAGCAGCGGCAGCGGAGUGGGGUGCAGUGAGCUCGUCCUACGUCGAUGGGGCGGCGCGGUCCCUCUCCUCCAUCGAGCAGCAGCGACGGCGCGGGACGCAACGGGCUCGGCCUUUGUCGUCGGCGGCGGGGUCCCUUUCCUCCCUUGAUCAUCGGUGGCAGCGCAGGACGCAACGUUACGGGGCGCGGCUGUGAAGUUACGGGAGCCGGCCCUGCCAUGGCGGCUGCGUGGUGGAGGGCACGUGCGUGAAGGCUGCACGUUCCUCCUGCUUCCGGCGUGCCACGGCAUGGGCCUCCCUGCUGUCGUCGUGCUCCCUGAUGCCAGAUCCUCCUUCCUCCCGGCGCUGGAGCAUCAUCCCAUGCCCUCGGCCUGCUGGCGUGAGAAAGCUCGAUUUAAAUUUGUGCAUAAGCGGUCAUCUAUAAAAAAAGCAUCUAUGAAGGAAGGCAAGGAAAAUUCCAUCUAGCAAGGUCCAUUGACGUACAAGCACGUACACCAUUUCAAGAUAUUACAAAUUUGGUUAUUUCCCGAAGAUUAUCGGAAGAGUAACAUGGCAUCAGUGUACAAUAUGGAUGAUGCACGUGAUUGGAUUGGCACUGCCAUCUCCACUGCACUGAAGGAGAUCAAGCCCAUUUCCAUCAGCAUCAAUUUGAACUUCCCCUAGAUUGACACACAUAGGAAUUUGUGAUUGAGUUUUAUGCUUAGAGCUAGAUAACUGCUUUCCGCUCUUCACCUAUCCUACAACUGCGUUAUAUUUUUUGUGUUGCUAUAAUCUGUCCAUUAAUCGGUAUUCUAGCUGAAAGUUUCAGAGUUGUCAAUUAUUUUGAAACUCGGCUCGCAGAGUAGCUGGUCCUUUUCGGGACAUAUUUGUUGUGUCUUUUCCCCAUUUAGUCUUGUAUUUUGUCAUGCAUAGUUCAAUUAGUUAAUUGUCAUUAUGCCAUAGCUAGCUUGUGCAACCUAUUGCCGCUCCACCAUGGGUCACAUGGCCAUUUGUCAUACACCGCUUCACUAGGACUUACGCCGAACUACAGAUGAUUGUAUGUAUGUUUUCACUAUUUUUCCUCAAUUGGUCUUUUUGUUUAGACACCCGGAAUGGCCAAUCUAAUAUUUUUUGUGUGUGUACAUUAUGGGGCACCCAGAAAAUUCAAAAAGAAGUUGCCUCUUGUUUGGACACCCGAAGCAUGGGCUGGUGAGACUAAGGUUGGGCAAAGAGAGCUUCAGGAAGACCGAGUAUGACUCCUCACUCGACGAUCGCUUAUUCUUCAAGCAAGGAUGGAAGAAGUUUUCACGAUACAUGACAUGAGGUUGGCACUGCUGUACAUUUAAGACCAUCGCCAACAAUGAGUUGGAGAUUACAGUCAUCCUUUCAUGUCCUUUGAGAAGUUGAGGAUCAUGUUGGACGAGUUCCGGGCUUGCAUGAGUUAUUUAAUUAUUUCUCUGCAUAUAUAUUUUUUGAACCAUGGAGGAGAACUGCAUGUGAAGUUUAUAGAUACACUAACUUUAUAGAU